GAGGGCCAGCUAGACAAGACAAACAUGACGAGUCAAACUGGUUAUACGAGGUAAAUUAUCUUACAAAUUGGUUGAACGUUGUCGGGUUCAAAAUCCAAUAAGUGUUUUUUAGUUUUCUAAAUUCAAAGACCUUUGUACCAUUAAAAAAUACAUGAUGACGAUAUUUGCAUUUAUGUUACACAUUCGUGUAGUAGUUAGCUGGUUAUAUCAGAAUGUUGUUGGACUAGCUUCAAAAAUACAAACACGAUCUACGCCAUUAUAAUACAACCGACAAUUACCGACUGAUGCUAUACCGAAUAUAUACCAGGACGGAUUGGAAUUUUAUAACGACUUCUCAGAGUAGCUGGUCAUCAGCAUAUUUUAUUCAAAUUCUAGGUAUCUCUCAUACAUUGGUUACUGGAUAAUGAAUUCUUGGAAUAUUUAUAUAUACAUAGUAAGUUUUUGAUUGUAAUACAGACACAAUCAGCAGUUACGAUGGCACCGGAUGUUCAAAAUUAAAUUAAAAAGUCUUCGUGCAAUUUAACACAUUACAUCGAUUGCCUCCAUACUAAUGUAUAAUCCAACCCAAUUAAACACAUGUGGCAUCUGUUCAAAUCCAGAAUAAAAUCUGAAAAUAUUUUAGGUAAGUAGAGCACGAUAGAUAAUAUUGGAAAACUGAGAAAAAUCAAUCAAUCAUGUAAUUAAAAUUGAAGGUUCCUACCUAAAUGCAAAUGUUGCU